rnacentral:lncRNA from 1 species
UUAUUUACUCUUUAAUGUUAAGUUAUUUAUUUCCAUUUGUUUCUACUAUUUUAUUUAUUGCAUUUUCAUUUAUGUAGCCAAUUAAUGAUUGUGUUGAGUGAUUUGUACAUCGUUGAGAGAAUAUUGUACAUUUUAGACCAAAUAAUAGAAAUCUUAGGUUUGUGCAGGGGAUAGAGAUAUACCCCCAUCCCUAGGUGAUCCAUUGAGUUAUUUUCACAAAGAUUUAAUGCGGUUGUUUGAUUUUAAUUGACAUAGAGAACGGUAGAUUAAACCAAUCAAUUAGGGUUAAUUUCGCUCGAAAGAGGUAAUUAAUUAAAAUUGAAAAAUCGGGUCUAACAUAAAAAAUGAAUAAUUCGUUAAUUGGCUCAUUGAGAAAUUAAUUAGGCGAUAGUUAAAUGAAACCAUGAAUCCCAACCACAUUUGUUUUCGAAAGUUCCAAGAUUUUUAUAGUUCCUUAUUUUGUAGAUUUUUAGUUAAUUUCCUUAUUUCAAAACCAUAUUUUUAAUUGUGUGCGUUUACUUUUAUUGUUAGAAUUAAAUUAAUUAAAAUUGUGUAAACUAAAGUAUACAUUUCUAGGAGGAUCGACAAUCCAAAAUUUAAAAGUUCAUUUUAUUACUUGAACGCGACUCGUGUACUUGCGGUUUAGUAUUUUAGCGAGUAUCAUCAUUGAAGAAUUAAGAGACUUGACCAAUUUAUUAGUAAACAGCUUGAUGGGAUCUCACGAUUUUAGAUUGUGGCAGUUUAAUAUUGUUCCUUUAGAACGAGUCUCUCAAUCUCAAACUUCUUUCAAUCAAAGUUUCAAAGGACGAAGAGGUGGUAGAAUUUUGAGUCCCAGAACUAACAACUGUGAAAGCGAGAAAGAAUCAAGUUCCUCAUGGUGAAUUUUCUCAUACUCAUUGCUACAACUGCAAUCAUUUUGGCCAUGCUAAAGUGUAUUGCAUUUAAGAAAAAUAAUGGUGACAAAAAUAAGUCAAUCAUGCACGAGGAACAAAAUAAUGAUGAAGAUGCUCUUUUUUCUAGCUUUAGAAUACUAGAAGCUGAAGACGUUUAGUAUCUUAACAGUGGUUGUAGU